GAGCGGGCGUAGCAAUACGUCAGCGGCAGACGGGUGAGUAACGCGUGGGAACGUACCUUUUGGUUCGGAACAACCCCAGGGAAACUUGGGCUAAUACCGGAUAAGCCCUUCGGGGGAAAGAUUUAUCGCCGAAAGAUCGGCCCGCGUCUGAUUAGCUAGUUGGUGAGGUAACGGCUCACCAAGGCGACGAUCAGUAGCUGGUCUGAGAGGAUGAUCAGCCACAUUGGGACUGAGACACGGCCCAAACUCCUACGGGAGGCAGCAGUGGGGAAUAUUGGACAAUGGGCGCAAGCCUGAUCCAGCCAUGCCGCGUGAGUGAUGAAGGCCCUAGGGUUGUAAAGCUCUUUUGUGCGGGAAGAUAAUGACGGUACCGCAAGAAUAAGCCCCGGCUAACUUCGUG
rnacentral:rRNA from 1 species